rnacentral:rRNA from 1 species
UACGAGAGGUCCAAACGUUAUUCGGAAUCACUGGGCUUACAGAGUUCGUAGGCGGUACGGAAAGUGGGGUGUGAAAGCCCUCGGCUCAACCGAGGAACUGCGCUCCAAACUACCGUGCUAGAGGAAGAUAGAGGUGAGCAGAACUGAUGGUGGAGCGGUGAAAUGCGUUGAUAUCAUCAGGAAUACCGGAGGCGAAGGCGGCUCACUGGGUCUUUUCUGACGCUGAGGAACGAAAGCUAGGGGAACAAACGGG